rnacentral:rRNA from 1 species
AUUACCGAGUUUACAACUCCCAAACCCAAUGUGAACGUUACCAAACUGUUGCCUCGGCGGGAUCUCUGCCCCGGGCGCGUCGCAGCCCCGGACCAAGGCGCCCGCCGGAGGACCAACCAAAACUCUUAUUGUAUACCCCCUCGCGGGUUUUUUACUAUCUGAGCCAUCUCGGCGCCCCUCGUGGGCGUUUCGAAAAUGAAUCAAAACUUUCAACAACGGAUCUCUUGGUUCUGGCAUCGAUGAAGAACGCAGCGAAAUGCGAUAAGUAAUGUGAAUUGCAGAAUUCAGUGAAUCAUCGAAUCUUUGAACGCACAUUGCGCCCGCCAGUAUUCUGGCGGGCAUGCCUGUCCGAGCGUCAUUUCAACCCUCGAACCCCUCCGGGGGGUCGGCGUUGGGGAUCGGCCCUUUACGGGGCCGGCCCCGAAAUACAGUGGCGGUCUCGCCGCAGCCUCUCCUGCGCAGUAGUUUGCACACUCGCAUCGGGAGCGCGGCGCGUCCACAGCCGUUAAACACCCCAAACUUCUGAAAUGUUGACCUCGGAUCAGGUAGGAAUACCCGCUGAACUUAAGCAUAUC